GAAGGGAUGACUGGUGACAGAGUGAGGGAAUGACUGGUGACAGAGUGAGAGAGGGGGUGACUAGUGACAGAGUGAGGGAGGGAGUGGGUGACUAGUGAGAGUGAGGAAGGGGUUGACACAGUGAAAGAGUGAGGAAGGGGGUGACACAGUGACAGAGUGAGGGAGGGGGUGACUAGUGACAGAGUGAAGGAGGUGGUGACUGUCACUAGUCACCCCAUCCUUCCCUCUGUCACUAAUCACCACCUCCCUCACUCUGUCACUAGUCACCCCUUCCCUCCCUCACUCUGUCACUAGUCACCCCCUCACUCUCUCUGUCACUAGUCACCCCCACCCUCUCUCUGUCACUAGUCACACCCUCUC